rnacentral:rRNA from 1 species
AGUGAACGCUGGCGGUAGGCCUAACACAUGCAAGUCGAACGGCAGCACAGUAAGAGCUUGCUCUUACGGGUGGCGAGUGGCGGACGGGUGAGGAAUACAUCGGAAUCUACUUUUUCGUGGGGGAUAACGUAGGGAAACUUACGCUAAUACCGCAUACGACCUACGGGUGAAAGCAGGGGAUCUUCGGACCUUGCGCGAUUGAAUGAGCCGAUGUCGGAUUAGCCAGUUGGCGGGGUAAGGGCCCACCAAGGAGACGAUCCGUAGCUGGUCUGAGAGGAUGAUCAGCCACACUGGAACUGAGACACGGUCCAGACUCCUACGGGAGGCAGCAGUGGUGAAUAUUGGACAAUGGGCGCAAGCCUGAUCCAGCCAUACCGCGUGGGUGAAGAAGGCCUUCGGGUUGUAAAGCCCUUUUGUUGGGAAAGAAAAGCAGCAUGUUAAUACCCCGCUGUUCUGACGGUACCCAAAGAAUAAGCACCGGCUAACUUCGUG